rnacentral:rRNA from 1 species
AGUGAACGCUGGCGGUAGGCCUAACACAUGCAAGUCGAACGGCAGCACAGAGGAGCUUGCUCCUUGGGUGGCGAGUGGCGGACGGGUGAGGAAUACAUCGGAAUCUACUCUGUCGUGGGGGAUAACGUAGGGAAACUUACGCUAAUACCGCAUACGACCUACGGGUGAAAGCAGGGGACCUUCGGGCCUUGCGCGAUUGAAUGAGCCGAUGUCGGAUUAGCUAGUUGGCGGGGUAAAGGCCCACCAAGGCGACGAUCCGUAGCUGGUCUGAGAGGAUGAUCAGACACACUGGAACUGAGACAUGGUCCAGACUCCUACGGGAGGCAGCAGUGGGGAAUAUUGGACAAUGGGCGCAAGCCUGAUCCAGCCAUACCGCGUGGGUGAAGAAGGCCUUCGGGUUGUAAAGCCCUUUUGUUGGGAAAGAAAUCCAGCUGGCUAAUACCCGGUUGGGAUGACGGUACCCAAAGAAUAAGCACCGGCUAACUUCGUGCCAGCCGCCGCAGUAA